GCCAGUGUGGCAUAGUGGUUUCAGUGCUGGACUACAUCUCUAGAGACCAGGGUUUGAUUCCCAGCUUGGCCA